CAGUAGCCGCGGGAAAACGAAGGGGGCUAGCGUUGUUCGGAAUUACUGGGCGUAAAGCGCACGUAGGCGGACAUUUAAGUCAGGGGUGAAAUCCCGGGGCUCAACCCCGGAACUGCCUUUGAUACUGGGUGUCUAGAGUAUGGAAGAGGUGAGUGGAAUUCCGAGUGUAGAGGUGAAAUUCGUAGAUAUUCGGAGGAACACCAGUGGCGAAGGCGGCUCACUGGUCCAUUACUGACGCUGAGGUGCGAAAGCGUGGGGAGCAAACAGGAUUAGAUACCCGUGUAGUCCCUGUCUCUUAUAU
rnacentral:rRNA from 1 species